GGUCAUUGUAGGUAGAAACCAAUACUAACAUCUUGUUUGAAAGAAGAGAUAAAAGAAACUAGAUUGUUCAACCUAGACGUCAUUGAUCGGCAAGAACACCACCAUCAAUGAGGAGAGUUAAGAAGCAUCAGCAGUGAUGAUGCUAAGAACACCCGUGCAACUCUGAGAAAGAUAUUAGAGAUUGAAGCCAAAAUAUUGAGACAG
rnacentral:lncRNA from 1 species